CAUCACUGGGAAAGAGAGAAGCCCCAGACUCUCUCGAUUAUGCACUGUCCACAUUACUAACUCUGAUUAAAGAAUUGUCUUUUCGGCGAA